GAUGAACGCUGGCUACAGGCUUAACACAUGCAAGUCGAGGGGAAACGACGGGGAAGCUUGCUUCCCCGGGCGUCGACCGGCGCACGGGUGAGUAACGCGUAUCCAACCUGCCUCUGACUGAGGGAUAACCCGUCGAAAGUCGGCCUAAUACCUCCUGGUAUCGUCUGCGGGCAUCCAACGACGAUUAAAGAUUUCAUCGGUCAGGGAUGGGGAUGCGUCUGAUUAGCUUGUUGGCGGGGUAACGGCCCACCAAGGCUACGAUCAGUAGGGGUUCUGAGAGGAAGGUCCCCCACAUUGGAACUGAGACACGGUCCAAACUCCUACGGGAGGCAGCAGUGAGGAAUAUUGGUCAAUGGGCGAGAGCCUGAACCAGCCAAGUAGCGUGCAGGAAGGCGGCCCUAUGGGUUGUAAACUGCUUUUAUGCGGGGAUAAAGUGAGGGACGUGUCCCUCAUUGCAGGUACCGCAUGAAUAAGGACCGGCUAAUUCCGUG
rnacentral:rRNA from 1 species